rnacentral:rRNA from 1 species
CGUGUAGGCGGAAUGUUAAGUCAGAUGUGAAAGCCCACAGCUCAACUGUGGAACUGCAUUUGAAACUGGCAAUCUAGAGUGCUGGAGAGGGAAGGGGAAUUCCAGGUGUAGAGGUGAAAUUCGUAGAUAUCUGGAGGAAUACCGGUGGCGAAGGCGCCUUCCUGGACAGACACUGACGCUGAGACGCGAAGCGUGGGGAGCAAACAGGAUUAGAUACCCUGGUAGUCC